GGAGUUUGAUCCUGGCUCACAAUCAACGCUGGCGGCGUGCCUAACACAUGCGAGUCGAACGAGAAAGUGGAGCAAUCCAUGAGUAAAGUGGCGACCGGGUGAGUAACACGUGACUACCUGCCCUUGAGUGGGGGAUAACCUCGGGAAACCGAGGCUAAUACCGCAUAAUAUCGCAAGAUCAAAGGAGCAAUCCGCUUUUGGAGGGGGUCGCGGCUGAUUAGCUUGUUGGUAAGGUAACGGCUUACCAAGGCGACGAUCGGUAUCCGGCCUGAGAGGGCGCACGGACACACUGGAACUGAAACACGGUCCAGACUCCUACGGGAGGCAGCAGUGGGGAAUUUUGCGCAAUGGGGGAAACCCUGACGCAGCAACGCCGCGUGGAGGAUGAAGCCCCUUGGGGCGUAAACUCCUUUCGACUGGGAAGAUUAUGACGGUACCAGUGGAAGAAGCACCGGCUAACUCUGUGCCAGCAGCCGCGGUAAUACAGAGGGUGCGAGCGUUGUUCGGAAUUAUUGGGCGUAGAGGGCGCGUAGGCGGUGCGGUAAGUCACCUGUGAAAUCCCCGGGCUUAACUCGGGGCCUGCACGCGAAACUGCCGUGCUGGAGGGUGGGAGAGGUGCGUGGAAUUCCCGGUGUAGCGGUGAAAUGCGUAUAUAUCGCGAGGAACACCUGUGGCUAAGCGGCACACUGGACCACUACUGACGCUGAUGCACGAAGCUAGGGAGCAGACUGGAUUAGAUACCUGGUAGUCUAGCCUAUCUAUGAUUGCUUGCGUGAUCGGUACCCAUCCGAUCGUGCGUAUCUACGCUAUAGC
rnacentral:rRNA from 1 species